CCUACGGGAGGCUGCAGUCGAGAAUCUUCCGCAAUGGACGAAAGUGUGACGGAGCGAUGCCGCGUGGUUGAUGAAGCUUUUCGGAGUGUAAAGACCUUUUAUAAGGGAGGAAUAACUGACGUGUACCUUAUGAAUAAGGGGCUCCCAAUCUCGUGCCAGCAGGAGCGGUAAUACGAGAGCCUCAAGCGUUAUCCGGAAUCAUUGGGCGUAAAGGGUGCGUAGGUGGAAUUAUUAGUCGCAGGUCAAAUCGUUGGGCUUAACCCAACAUCCGCUUGCGAAACGGUAAUUCUCGAGUAUGUGCAAGGUAAGUGGAACUCUCGGUGUAGGGGUGAAAUCCGUUGAUAUCGAGGGGAACACCAAAUGUGAAGACAACUUACUGGCGCAUUACUGACACUGAGGCACGAAACCCUGGGUAGCGAAUGGGAUUAGAUACCCCUGUAGUC
rnacentral:rRNA from 1 species